UACGGAGGGUGCAAGCGUUGUUCGGAAUUAUUGGGCGUAAAGCGCGUGUAGGCGGCUAUUUAAGUCUGGUGUGAAAGCCCGAGGCUCACCCUCGGAAGGGCACUGGAUACUGGAUAGCUUGAGUACUGGAGAGGAGGGUGGAAUUCCUGGUGUAGCGGUGAAAUGCGUAGAUAUCAGGAAGAACACCGGUGGCGAAGGCGGCCCUCUGGACAGCUACUGACGCUGAGACGCGAAAGCGUGGGGAGCAAACAGG
rnacentral:rRNA from 1 species